CAUCAACAGCCGAAGCGGUGGUGCUCCAUUUUGUCAGGUUUCUAGGACAAGUGGCUGGAAUGUCAUACUGCUGGUUUGCUUUGUCUUCGAAAUGUUUGGGAUAGUACCACUUUGUUGUCGUUGUAGUGCUGAUAUUUCCUGCUGUAGCUGUUUGUAGGCUGGUUACCUGCAUGUGUUCCUCGAGUUGUCUGAUAACCGGCGCACAUUGUGGUUGCUGCUACUUGCUGCGUUGUGUCUUUGUGUGGUAUCUUACUGGAGUUGAGAUGUUAUCUGUUGCGUUGUGUCUUCGACCUAUUGUAACAGGAAGGCGAGGAGCACAAAGUGCGGUGGUGCUCCAUUUUGUCAGGUUUCUAGGACACUGUUGUCUAGGGUCAUCAUUUUUGUGUCUAUGAGACUGCUGAGUUGUGCGCAACCUCUGGUCCAUGUGGUUUGAUGAGUAGCUCUCUUUGUGUUACUCCGGGUGGGCGCUGAGUUGUGCGAAACCUCUGCUCCAUGUGGUUUGAUGAGUUUGGCUACAGCUCUUUUGUGUUACUCCCUCCGUUCCUAAAUACAAGUCCUUUUAGAGAUUCUACUAUGGACUACAUACGGAUGUAUAUAGACAUAUUUUAAAGUGUAGAGUCACUCAUUUUGCUCUGUAUGUAGUCCCUUAUUGGAAUCUCUAAAAAGACUU
rnacentral:lncRNA from 1 species